CGCUGGCGGCGCGCUUAACACAUGCAAGUCGCACGAAAAAGGGAGCAAUCCUAAGUAAAGUGGCGCACGGGUGAGUAACACGUGGAUCAUCUACCUUUUAGUGGGGAAUACCUCUGGGAAACCGGAGACAAUACCGCAUAAGCCCGCAAGGGGAAAGCAGCAAUGCGCUGAAAGAGGAGUCCGCGGCCGAUUAGCUAGUUGGCGGGGUAAUGGCCCACCAAGGCGAAGAUCGGUAGCCGGCCUGAGAGGGCACACGGCCACACUGGCACUGAAACACGGGCCAGACUCCUACGGGAGGCAGCAGUGGGGAAUCUUGCACAAUGGACGAAAGUCUGAUGCAGCGACGCCGCGUGAGCGAUGAAGCCCUUCGGGGUGUAAAGCUCUUUCGACGGGAACGAUAAUGACGGUACCCGGAGAAGAAGCUGCGGCUAACUACGUGCCAGCAGCCGCGGUAAUACGUNNGCAGCGAGCGUUGUUCGGAAUUACUGGGCGUAAAGAGUGUGU
rnacentral:rRNA from 1 species